GACGAACGCUGGCGGCGUGCUUAACACAUGCAAGUCGAACGGAAAGGCCCUGCUUUUGUGGGGUGCUCGAGUGGCGAACGGGUGAGUAACACGUGAGUAACCUGCCCUUGACUUUGGGAUAACUUCAGGAAACUGGGGCUAAUACCGGAUAGGAGCUCCUGCUGCAUGGUGGGGGUUGGAAAGUUUCGGCGGUUGGGGAUGGACUCGCGGCUUAUCAGCUUGUUGGUGGGGUAGUGGCUUACCAAGGCUUUGACGGGUAGCCGGGCUGAGAGGGUGACCGGCCACAUUGGGACUGAGAUACGGCCCAGCCUCCUACGGGAGGCAGCAGUGGGGAAUAUUGCACAAUGGGCGGAGGCCUGAUGCAGCAACGCCGCGUGCGGGAUGACGGCCUUCGGGUUGUAAACCGCUUUCGCCUGUGACGAAGCGUGAGUGACGGUAAUGGGUAAAGAAGCACCGGCUAACUACGUG
rnacentral:rRNA from 1 species